AUGUAAGCUAUCACUGAAGGAGGGGAUUGCGUCUGAUUAGCUAGUUGGAGGGGUAACGGCCCACCAAGGCGAUGAUCAGUAGCCGGUCUGAGAGGAUGAACGGCCACAUUGGGACUGAGACACGGCCCAGACUCCUACGGGAGGCAGCAGUGGGGAAUCUUCCGCAAUGGACGAAAGUCUGACGGAGCAACGCCGCGUGAGUGAUGACGGCCUUCGGGUUGUAAAGCUCUGUUAAUCGGGACGAAAGGCCUUCUUGCGAAUAGUUAGAAGGAUUGACGGUACCGGAAUAGAAAGCCACGGCUAAU
rnacentral:rRNA from 1 species